rnacentral:ncRNA from 2 species
UGUUCAAUAUCCAGAAAAGGUUUUUCGUUUAGGCGAAAAUAAAAGGGAAACGUGUUAAAAUCACGUGCUGUCGCGCAACUGUAAUUCCAACUCAUCGAGAAGUUGGAAAAGCCAGGUUACUUUCCAUUUCUGAUUCGCUCAC